GCCGGGCGUGGUGGCUCACGCCUGUAAUCCCAGCACUUUGGGAGGCAGAGGCAGGUGGCUCGCUUGAGGUCAGGAGUUCAAGACCAGCUUGGCCAACAUGGUGAAACCCUGUCUCUA
rnacentral:SRP_RNA from 1 species